AGGACGGCGGAGCACCUGUGGGAAGGUGCGCCAGAUGGUCCUUUCCGAUGAUCCAUUCGCAGGCUGUGGUCCCCGGUGCCCGACGGGGACGCG
rfam:Jannaschia donghaensis strain CECT 7802 genome assembly, contig: 0012